GCCGGGGGAACCUGAUGCUCUUCUCAGACUCGGAUUGACAGGUGCUCAGAGCAGGGGACAAGUCUCUUGCUUUGGUGUUUGGGGUAUAUUUGCUGUGAGGGGAAGAGUGAGUCUGCCUGUCAGAGAUCUCAAAGAACCGUUGGAAAUACACCUCAGGGAGAAGAAAGCGCCACUGUUCCUGGAGGUGACAGGAGGCACUAGAAAUGGGGAAAGACCGUAGAUUAUCACACCACAAGAAUGACUUCAGGAAACUGAAGGGACCAAGACA
rnacentral:lncRNA from 1 species